GACGAACGCUGGCGGCGUGCCUAAUACAUGCAAGUCGAACGAACUCUGGUAUUGAUUGGUGCUUGCAUCAUGGUUUACAUUUGAGUGAGUGGCGAACUGGUGAGUAACACGUGGGAAACCUGCCCAGAAGCGGGGGAUAACACCUGGAAACAGAUGCUAAUACCGCAUAACAACUUGGACCGCAUGGUCCGAGUUUGAAAGAUGGCUUCGGCUAUCACUUUUGGAUGGUCCCGCGGCGUAUUAGCUAGAUGGUGAGGUAACGGCUCACCAUGGCAAUGAUACGUAGCCGACCUGAGAGGGUAAUCGGCCACAUUGGGACUGAGACACGGCCCAAACUCCUACGGGAGGCAGCAGUAGGGAAUCUUCCACAAUGGACGAAAGUCUGAUGGAGCAACGCCGCGUGAGUGAAGAAGGGUUUCGGCUCGUAAAACUCUGUUGUUAAAGAAGAACGUAUCUGAGAGUAACUGUUCAGGUAUUGACGGUAUUUAACCAGAAAGCCACGGCUAACUACGUGCCAGCAGCCGCGGUAAUACGUAGGUGGCAAGCGUUGUCCGGAUUUAUUGGGCGUAAAGCGAGCGCAGGCGGUUUUUUAAGUCUGAUGUGAAAGCCUUCGGCUCAACCGAAGAAGUGCAUCGGAAACUGGGAAACUUGAGUGCAGAAGAGGACAGUGGAACUCCAUGUGUAGCGGUGAAAUGCGUAGAUAUAUGGAAGAACACCAGUGGCGAAGGCGGCUGUCUGGUCUGUAACUGACGCUGAGGCUCGAAAGUAUGGGUAGCAAACAGGAUUAGAUACCCUGGUAGUCCAUACCGUAAACGAUGAAUGCUAAGUGUUGGAGGGUUUCCGCCCUUCAGUGCUGCAGCUAACGCAUUAAGCAUUCCGCCUGGGGAGUACGGCCGCAAGGCUGAAACUCAAAGGAAUUGACGGGGGCCCGCACAAGCGGUGGAGCAUGUGGUUUAAUUCGAAGCUACGCGAAGAACCUUACCAGGUCUUGACAUACUAUGCAAAUCUAAGAGAUUAGACGUUCCCUUCGGGGACAUGGAUACAGGUGGUGCAUGGUUGUCGUCAGCUCGUGUCGUGAGAUGUUGGGUUAAGUCCCGCAACGAGCGCAACCCUUAUUAUCAGUUGCCAGCAUUAAGUUGGGCACUCUGGUGAGACUGCCGGUGACAAACCGGAGGAAGGUGGGGAUGACGUCAAAUCAUCAUGCCCCUUAUGACCUGGGCUACACACGUGCUACAAUGGAUGGUACAACGAGUUGCGAACUCGCGAGAGUAAGCUAAUCUCUUAAAGCCAUUCUCAGUUCGGAUUGUAGGCUGCAACUCGCCUACAUGAAGUCGGAAUCGCUAGUAAUCGCGGAUCAGCUUGCCGCGGUGAAUACGUUCCCGGGCCUUGUACACACCGCCCGUCACACCAUGAGAGUUUGUAACACCCAAAGUCGGUGGGGUAACCUUUUAGGAACCAGCCGCCUAAGGUGGGACAGAUGAUUAGGGUG
rnacentral:rRNA from 1 species